rfam:Mesocricetus auratus contig038440, whole genome shotgun sequence.
UUGAUUGAUGGUGAGAAUGGGUGGCAUAUGAGUCAUAAUCAAUGAAUAUGUUUCCGUAACAAAUAGGUGUCCAU